GGAUGCGAUCAUACCUGCACUAACGCACCAGAUCCCAUUAGAACUCCGAAGUUAAGCGUGCGCGGGCGAGAGUAGUACUAGGAUGAGUGACCCCCUGGGAAGUCCUCGUGUUGCAUCCC
rfam:Nicotiana sylvestris Nsyl_contig80891, whole genome shotgun sequence.